CUACGGGGCGCUCCAGCAACGAAUAUUCCGCAAUGGGCGCAAGCCUGACGGAGCGACGCCGCGUGCAGGAUGAAGUCCUUCGGGAUGUAAACUGCUGUCAGGGGUUGGAAAUCCAUGAUCGGCCCCAAAGGAAGCCUCGGCUAAUUCCGUGCCAGCAGCCGCGGUAAUACGGAAGAGGCGAGCGUUGUUCGGAAUCACUGGGCUUAAAGCGCGUGUAGGCGGGGUGUAGGGUGCCUUGUGAAAGCCCUCGGCUCAACCGAGGAACCGCUGGGCAAACCGACACUCUUGAGGCAGGCAGAGGUAACCGGAACCUUUGGUGGAGCGGUGAAAUGCGUAGAGAUCAAAGGGAACGCCGGUGGCGAAAGCGGGUUACUGGGCCUGAGCUGACGCUGAGACGCGAAAGCGUGGGUAGCAAACAGGAUUAGAUACCCGAGAAGUC
rnacentral:rRNA from 1 species